rnacentral:tRNA from 1 species
GCCGGGGUGGCGGAACAGGCAGACGCUGGGGACUUAAAAUCCCCUGGCCGACAGGCCAUGCCGGUUCGACUCCGGCCCCCGGCA